rnacentral:rRNA from 1 species
GACGAACGCUGGCGGCGUGCUUAACACAUGCAAGUCGAACGGAAAGGCCCUGCUUGCAGGGUACUCGAGUGGCGAACGGGUGAGUAACACGUGGGUGAUCUGCCCUGCACUUCGGGAUAAGCCUGGGAAACUGGGUCUAAUACCGGAUAGGAGCCAUUUUUAGUGUGAUGGUUGGAAAGUUUUUUCGGUGUAGGAUGAGCUCGCGGCCUAUCAGCUUGUUGGUGGGGUAAUGGCCUACCAAGGCGGCGACGGGUAGCCGGCCGGGGAGGGUGGACGGCCACAUUGGGACUGAGAUACGGCCCAGACUCCUACGGGAGGCAGCAGUGGGGAAGAUUGCACAAGGGGCGCAAGCCUGAUGCAGCGACGCCGCGGGGGGGAGGACGGCCUUCGGGUUGGAAACUCCUUUCGCUAGGGACGAAGCUUUUUGUGACGGUACCUAGAUAAGAAGCACCGGCUAACUACGUG